AACGAACGCUGGCGGCAUGCCUAACACAUGCAAGUCGAACGAGACCUUCGGGUCUAGUGGCGCACGGGUGCGUAACGCGUGGGAACCUGCCCUUAGGUUCGGAAUAACUCCCCGAAAGGGGUGCUAAUACCGGAUAAUGUCUUCUGACCAAGGAUUUAUCGCCUUUGGAUGGGCCCGCGUUGGAUUAGCUAGUUGGUAGGGUAAAAGCCUACCAAGGCGACGAUCCAUAGCUGGUUUGAGAGAAUGAUCAGCCACACUGGGACUGAGACACGGCCCAGACUCCUACGGGAGGGAGCAGUGGGGAAUAGUGGACAAUGGGGGAAAGCCUGAACCAGCAAUGCCGGGUAAGUGCUGAAGGUCGUAGGGUAGUAAAGCUCUUUUACCCGGGAUGAUAAUGACAGUACCGGGAGAAUAAGCUCCGGCUAACUCCGUG
rnacentral:rRNA from 1 species